CGGAAUUUCCAUGCUUAAAUUGGGAAUUAUAAUUCCUAAUAAUUUAAUAUUUCAUAAACUAAGCCUUUUAACAGACAGGGCCUCAGAAAGCUGGGCCUGAGACGUGGGCCGGCUCGUACGUGAGGUGCAGAAGCGGCAUUCGUCGGUGGGAUAUUUCACCGAGCAAUUCUCGUGCGUCCGGUGGCUUCCUGCUGCGAAAGAUGGAGACGCGGAACUUGCUGAUGAUCCUAGAUGGGUUAGAUCAAGAACAAGGGGUUUCUGGAAUCUCAAUAACAAGGGGUUUCUGGAAUCACAGCGUAGGCCAAGGAAAGAGGCCGAGUAGCAGGAGAGUUGGGGCGGGCAGACAUGGGGGAAAGGCGAUCGAAUCGUCAGUGCUAAAGGUGGUCGGCCAAGGCGUUUAUGGUGUGCGGUUUUGCAGCAUUGAUGGUGGAAAGAAGGAAAAUUCAUGUUCCAAGUGUAGAAACACCAGAAAGCAGUGGAAAACAAUCUUGAAGAUGGCGGAGAAGGUGGGAUUGAUGGCCAUAGAAGCAUGAUCAAGAUAUGGUAAUCGAAAACUGACCUCAUCAAGGAUUGGUUCUUGAUGCUUCUCCGUUGGAGAUGGUGAACCGUGUCAUGGCAGAGGGUCAAAGAGCCACUCUGUGGGUGGCUUUUGAUGAGGUAAGAGACCUCAAAACUUAGUGGCCCUAAUUAGGUCAGCAGCCUAUUCCGUUGCAGCAGAAGGGUUGAUCCUAGGGAGGCCCUGUUUAAUUGUUUGAGCUUCUGUCUUGUAAGAACAUGAUGCAGUUCUUAUCAUCAGCUGCAAAUGGUUGGCGAGUUCUUGAGGUAUCAGUCUUGUCAAGAGCUGUCAAAUUGAGUUAUAUCGAAGCAGAUUUUGAUACGAGGACAUUUUGCAUGUUUGAAUAUGCUCUUUAGAUUGUCUCAGUUAUCUAACUUUGCAUCAUUUAUCAUUGUGGAAGCUUGCUGAUUUAUACGUAUCUUUGUAAAAGGGACUUGCAUUCUUCAGAGGUUCAGAUUCUGAAUUACUUUAGAAGAACCCUUUUUUUUUUUUCAAUGCAACAUGUUUCACAAAAAUUUUCUUACAUUGUUUUGGUGGUUCAAUAUGAACUCUUAUCAUGUUGCAUUUUCACUUAUAAUGUGUUCUCCCUCUGGAGAUCUUUUGGAGCUUUAAUCAGUAUGCUUUGGUCUAGGAAGUUUGGUUUGCUUGGUUCGAGACUAAUUGUAAUAUCUAGGUUCUACAUUUACCUGUCCAAACAUAUAUUAACUAUCUCUUAUUUUUGGUUGAACUUGUCCUAAUAUUAGUUAUUUGCUGGUAAUCUUUUUAAUAUACUAUGAAUGUUGUUUUGGUAAGCUAUUUUGUUAAUCUUGGAGAAGUGAUUUGGCAUCAUCUUUUUUUCUUCCUUUUGUUGCACCUUAAAAUGAAACACAGACUUUAACAUGUUACAGUUUGACAAUUUCAAUUCCCUGCAUUAUUUGCUUUCAGGCUGCCAGUUGACACUAACCUACUGAAACAAAGAAUAUCACUUUUGUUAUUUCAUGAAUCCUCCUUUCAUCAGACCUUAACCAUGGAAAUAACCCAUAAAAUUUCCUUUCUCUUUGCGUUCCCUCAUUGUUAUAUAUUUUCUGCAGUUUUAGUUGAUCACAUUUGGUUCGAAGUACUUGGAGAAUUGCAAUUCUCAACAAGUGGUAUGUCUACUCCAAUCUCAUAUGUGGCAAAGAAAUCAUAACAUAGAUCUGAUGUUAAAGACCGACAAAUAAAAUGUGUUCUUCAUGUUCGUCAUGCCUGCAUGGGUGAAUCUUUUUGGCUUCUGUUGUUCUGCUUCUAUCUGUAGUUCUUACAUGCUAAAUGUUUGUAGGACAUUUUGUACUAUUUUCUAGGCCAUUUUGUUCUUCCUUUUUCUCGCCCCAUUCUGCAUUUUGACUACAAUGUGAAAUGACUACUGUUCACCUUAAAUUCACAUAUAAUUUCAUUUUAGAAUAACUAGCUUUUAGUAUCUGGAUAUAAUCUUACUACCAAAAGUUUUCCCAUUGGUUAACAUAGACUUCAUUUCUCCGUUUCACCAACCAGGUAUAGGAAAAAGGGCAGUUCUUUUUAUUGGUUUUGGCAAUAAAGCUGUUGUGGUGACCAUAGUUGACAGUUAACUUAAUCGAUAGCGUUUUCCAACUAGUUCAUGUCACUUUUUCCCUCCACUUUCAAGAUUGAGGAAGUUAAUUUUGGUGAUUUUGUCAAAGUUGGAUCAAGGAGCCGACCUAGUUCUUCUUUUUCUGGCUCAGUGUAUCACUUGUUGAGGCUUUCAAUAUGUUUAUCUGUCAUGAAAACCAGUAUCCGGCUUGGCCUGGGAAUGCUACCAGCUGAUCCUUCCACACUUUAGUUAGUGCUUGACUAAGAUGGAGAAAAAAAACUUCUAGAGUUAAAUUUCCCUUUCUUAUACUGGAAUUAGUUGAAGGAUCAAAAGAUUGACUUUUUAUGUUAAUUCACGACUGUUGUCACCAAUGAAUGGCUUUGACUAGGGCUAUUGGCCUUGACCAUUUUGAUGUGUCUGAUCGAUGUGGAAUUACCACAGGAUAUUGAUGACCAUGCUGCAAUAUGUCGGUCAGAUGGGACGCAGCUGUGUGCUCUUAUCAAAGGUUCUUCCUGAAGGAGCGGAUAGGAGGCCAACCAACAACAGGAGCAGGCGCAGCUCUGCAUUUUUGUUGAGGAGUAGGAAAUAUCAAGUAAGAAGUGUUAAAACAAAUUACAGAAAGGUUAGAUAGAGGAAAAUGCAAUUGAAUCACGAUGUCCAAGACCAGUCGGUUUCCAUUUCUUUAGCAAGGAGAUCAACAGUAAGACUGCUCUUCCACAACCUACGAUGCUUAUAUUUGGAGUCAGUAUAAAUAAUGUUUUUGCUUGUAAAGGUAAAGUUACUGCAUGUCUUGAUCUUUGUUAGACUUGAAUCCUUUUAUUUAAAUAGCCAUACUUUAUUUAUGAAGAUUUUGAUAAAUGCUAUCAUCUUAUAGAUCUAACUUCAGAUUUAUGCUGGUGAAGAUGAUACUGAAAUCAGUAUUUUUAGAGAGGUUGGACAAAAUCAACAUAGCAAGAACCUUAAAAUUUUGUGAAUGAAAGAGUAAAUUGUAACAGCACAAAAAGAAGUAGAGAAAACUAAAUCUCUUUUGAACUGUAAGUCGGUGGUGUGAAGUACUUAAGCAGCAGCAGGCAGCAGCAGCAGCAAACUUCUAUUAAUUAGGAAGUGUAAAACUAUACCUAGCAGCCAUGGAAAAAUUAGAACCCAAAAUAUAAGGGAAAAAAAAGAUAGAUAUGCUGCAUGAAAUACUUAAUUUUGCAACUGGGAACACUGUUUAGUGAAAUUAUUAGCCCCAGUUCUAUCAGACACUAAAGACAGGCCAUCCAGCUGGGCUGGGCAUUUAAAGUCACAGUGAGCAUGAUAUCGAGACAAGAGACAUCAAAUAAUGUGCAGAAAAAGUAGCAGAUACAUUGAUGACACACAAACAAAUGCAAGCCCGAAUGAGAUCAUGGCACAUGCCAAUCAUGGUUACCUUGUCUGGGAGCUGGUGUUGGGUCCAGCUGCACCUCCGGGAGCAGCAUGGCUUUGCUGCAGAUCAGCCUUCCCACCAGCCCAAACUGCCUUGUGUGGCCAUUCAUUCCCAGACUCUGCUCUGCUCUGCAACUGGAGGAACCCAGCCUGCUGCUCUUGCUGAGGACCUGAAAAGGGAAGAAUAUGGUGUAGGAGUCGAUAAAUCCCAGGAAGACAUGCAUGACCUUUGGCGCUUGAAAAAAUAUAGUACCUUCUGAUUUGGACUCUGCAGAUUCGAAGAGCCGUCUUCUGGCUCCAGUACAGGUGGUGGUGGUGGUGGUCUUUGAAGCCUUGGAGAAGAAAUCAAGACAGAGAACAGCAGCAGCCUCUUCUUCUCCUCCUCCUACUCCAGGGAGCCCAAGCUUCAGCUCCAACUUUUUGUCUUCCGAGUCAUCUAAGCCGCCGACUCCUCUUCCUCCUCCUGAUGCCUCUGGCGCCAUCAUCCAGUCGCUCUCAUUUGGAAUCAGAUCGAGCAGCUGAGGACAUGCACCUCCUCUGUUCUCGAGAUCUUCUUCCAUGGCAAGUUCAAAAGUCGAGGAUGAACGACCAGCAGCUUCCUGUUUCAACGCUCAAGUUGGGAGAAAGCGUCAAAGAUGAAAUUUUUUUUUAUGGACAAAAGCAGUCGCCUCUUCGGAAACAUUAUCACCUACAACCAUGCUAGCCAAAAUGAAAGACUAGAAGAAGAAGAAGAAGAAGAAGAAGAUCAGCCGUAUCAGCAUAGUUGAUCAAGAAGAGGGGAAGGAGACGACACACGGCUAACCCACCUGCACUCGAGUUCCGGGACGAGAAGUAGGAUCAGAGGAAGGAAAGCUCUGCUCGCUCCAGCCACUGAAGAAGCCAAAUCCUCAAAACCAAAUCUUGGAGGGAGAAUUAGGCCAAAUACCACUCAGUAAAUAAUGAAAAAGGCUUCUUUUUUCACCUACACUCCUCUUCUCAUCCUUCCUUUUUCUCUGUCUUGUAGGAGAAGUGGUGCUUAAAAAGGGAACAGCGGCAGGGAUUCCAUGGCUGGGAAAGGAGCCCGAAAAAGGGACAGUGGGAUCGAGGCAUUCCCAUCCCAUCUCUACUCCUGCACGCUAAUCCAAGCAGGUGGAACAGGGACGUGACACUCUCUCUCUACAAUCAUAUUCGUAUUGUUCCCUCCCUAAGAAAAAUUGCAGAAAAGAACAAAAGCUAUACAACUGUAGCAGCCAUGAGCCAUACACAGUAUCGGAUACUCGGAAUUCUUAAUACACUGGUCAAUCAGAAUUCGGCUGGUUGCUUACGCCUAACAAAGUGGGAGGGGGUAAUGAUUGGAUCAGUGGUCCUCCUUUUAACUCUUCUUCUUCCUCUCUUUGUGGCCAACUUAAACUUGGCGGAUCAACAGUCCAUGGAAGCUGGAAAGAUGCACACAAUCAUCACCGAAUCUCUCUCUCUCUCUCUCUCUCUCUCUCUCUCUCUCUCUCUCUCUCUCUCUCUGUGUUGGUAGUACUGUGACAUUACCAAAUACAUGAAAAUAUUUUCUGAAAAUGAAUGAAGCCUGCAGAGUGAGUGAUACUAAUGUAGGCUAUGAGCUAAGCCUAAUGUCACGCAGCACAACACAAGGGAAAUGUGACAGCAGUAGUUGGGGACCUCACAAGAGGAGGAGGAGGAGGAGGAGAUGGCUGUGGCAGGCAUCAUGAUCACAGUUCCUGUGGAAAAAGCUGGUGGCUCGCUGGAGGGAACUGAAGAGGAGCUCCGGAAAAGCACUCGAUUCAAUGCAUCGGGAGGGCGGGCGGGCUGUAGGCGGCGGUGGGCGCCCGAGGCGGUCCACCCUCGCGUGCUUAGGCCACGGGCGUGCCUCGCAAAGUCUAUGGUCAAGGCUCACUCUCCGUGUGGUGGUCGAUCUGCUCUGGUCCCCCAACUGUUUGACAAAAUGCCUGUGUGCGCCAUAAAUUGUAACUUGUCACGAGGGGCGUUUAACCUUCAUCCGACUCCUCCUCAGGACCAGAAGCGUCGAUAUCAUCAUCAUCAUCAUCAUCAGCAGCAGCAGCAGCAAAUUGGCACAUGAAUGUGAAUUGCCUGGAGAAUUCAAAGCACGGUCACAAUUUAACUUGACGGUUCCCCUUCAAAUGCAUCCGAAGCUACUGAAGUUAUCUUGGAACAAAACUAUCUCUGCAGGAACCCCAUAGCUUGAUAGACAUUAUUGAGAGUGGUUUCUGCUAUAUCGGCUGCUUUUCUAGCCCCCUCUGACAAAAUCUGAUCCAGAUAUGCUGGAUCAGAGGUGAUCUCCGAGUACCGAGCC